GCCCUGACCGGGAAUCGAAUCGUGCUUGGUUCAUAGGUCGAUAAUUUUGCUAUGAGUUGAAUACAGUUCCCUGUGGGUCUGUAAAUAACUUUUUUUAAAUUAUAAAAGUAAUACUUCUUUA